AGUUGUAGUUCUAGCUCAAUCUCUUUUGUCGUCGUCCCCAUUCUAAGGCCCAAGCAAAAUGAGUAUGAGAGACCACAUUUCCUAGGAUGCCCUGCGGUGCGAUCAAGCUCACUUCCCCCUUAGGCGGAGGGAAGGAUGCAGGGAAGCUUGGUUAAAAACAGAGUUAAAGGGAAUGGGUGUCGGAAGCAGAGGGUCUGAAGUUCACGGCUCCUAGAAGGGGAGGGGAAUGAAAGGCUCUCAGUGAAGAAGGUCCAGAAUCCUUCAGAUCAACUUACCAAUAAGUUCAAUAUGUAAAAUAGUUAAAUGUGGAUGAAAUGAGGAAGGAUGAAAGUUAUUCCAACCGUCAACACUCCCUAUCCCUGUUCCCACCCUCCCUAUCUGGGAGGCUCCAGGGAGUAUUUUGAACAUCAUUGGAGUAAUUCAUCCCCUCAUAAAUGACUUUAAAACAGCAUGUCUGUAAUAUGCUACAUUAAAAUUUCUACCCAUUUCA